rnacentral:lncRNA from 10 species
AUAAGGAACGCAGGUAUUUUUUGGUUAAACUCAUAUACCUCUAAGAAGCAAUUUGAAUUCUUCAUAAAAUUUGGCUAAAUUGUGUAAGUUGUUCAAGCUAAGUAAUCAUAUUUAAUAAUAAUCAAAUAAUGUUAAUAGGAGUUUGCUUUAAAGGAAGAACAAUAACAAAAAUAAAACAGACAACACAACAGUAACAACAAAAACUAAUGGUCAGAGGAGGAGAUAUUAAAAAUAUCUGAUGAUUUCAAAUUGACAGUAGUGAGCUAAGGAAUCUGGUAGUAGACAACUGGAGUAUUUGCAUCCAUGGCCCAUCCAGCAGAAUCCCAGCUAUAUAGAGUUCAAAGCUUUUUGUUUUGGGUUAAGUGAAGGUUGCCAGGUGGAAGUAAGGAGGGAGAGUGCUAAGUGAAAAUGCGAUAUUACCUGCAUGCGUUUUAUUAACAGUAGCAGUUCUACUGUCCAGAACAAGACGUGGGGUUUUGUAAGGGGUGUACAUACAGGAGAUUGAGACUAGUGUCGGUAGGCUAGACAGGAAAACCCCUUAUGUACAGAAACAGUUCGGUUGCGGCAGGCCAGAUAACAUAUCUGCCUUCCUACAGUCCAGUGGCGAGCUGGGCAGCAGAACCACAACCACUUGCAAUCAUCAUGCAGUUUAUAUAGCAUUUUCACUUAACUUCUUCCCCCUAACCUCUUCCUCUACUUGGCAACCUUAAUUUAACCCAAAACUCAGAACCUGAAUCCUCUGUACAACCCAUGUUCCAUAGGACAGGACAGGGGCUCAGAUGUUCCUCAUAGACAAGGAAUGAAUCUAUGUGUUGGCCAUUCCAGGAUUCCCUAUCUCAGAACACAUGUUCAAGUGCAUCUGCCGUACAAGAUCAUUCUAAAGGUAUGCUUACAUUAUUGCUAUCAGGUGAUUUACCCUACAAUACUCAAUACUCAAACUUUCUUGCCACUCAUCUUUGUAAGAAAACUCUUGCUUUCUGAUAGCUAGCUGUAAACACAUGCAUUAAUAGUGACUAAACCUGAAUUCAACUGGUACUUUGUUUUAAAACUACAAAAGAAAAUUCCAUAGGGUAAAUAACUUUCUAGAUAUUCAAAUAUUUCAGCAUAGACAUUUCUUUAUCAUAAUUAAGCUUCAUUAUUCUAAAAAUGAGGGCAUGUUUUGUGUAUGCUAAUGUCACCCUUAACCUCUUCUAUAUUUCCAUAUGUAAGAGAAAAGUAAACUUUCCCAGUUCCUCAAAAUGUUUCUUUAAAGACUUUAUGGUCUUAAGAGAAUUGUUUGGCCUGAGUACAAAUACCACCAAGCUUUUAUUAAAGUGCCUUUUACACUGUAGUAUUUUAAUGUAAUCAGGACAGAAGUCAAGAUAUAGAGACUAGUAAAUAACUUAAUGUCUUACAGUGGAUCUCUGCUGUGAUUGCAUAUAAUCUCAAUUAUUAUAUGUCCAGCAGAUGGAUGCUUAGAUAGUUGGAUAAAACUUCUAUUUGAACAGCUUUUGAAAAAAAAAAAACCUCAAAUAUCAGAGAACAUUUCUUCUUUUGUCAUUUAUUUCCCAUGAAAUUACUGAAAUAACCUGGGAUCUAAUUGCAAAGAUUCAAAUUCAUUUAAAACAUACUAAUUAAGAGGUAGUCAUAAUGCCUUUUAACUGUUUCCAUUUACUCUCCCUUAAUUUUAUAAUUACAAAAAUAACACUGAGUGCAGUGAAUAUAAAACUAACUGCAGAACUUCUCAGGAUAAUCUUCAAGGCUUUUAGCAGCCUUUAGCCAUAUGGGUUUUGCAUAUAUGGUUCCAAAAUGGCUCUUAUCCAUAUACAUUUAUGGAGAAAUCU